UACAUUUUCGAUGGACUAAAAGAUAGAUUCAAUCGAUCAAUCUUUAUUCCAAAAUCCAUGUCAUACUAAAUUUUUCGUUGCUAUUGCGACGCGGCGAAUUUGAAGUUGCUACACGGGUGAUUUUGGAGUAUUGGAGCAAGUCUGAAGUUACGAUUUGAAAGGGAGCAAGUCUGAAGUUCUGAUUUGAAAUGCAUAAAUAAAAAGUUAAAUUCGCAUUUGCAGUUACCUUUGCGGUAACUGCGAACCAAAUAAAUGAUUUCGAAAAACA